rnacentral:rRNA from 1 species
GAUGAACGCUGGCGGCAUGCUUAACACGUGCAAGUCGAACGGACUCUUCGGAGUUUGUGGCGGACGGGUGUGUCACGCGUGAGAAUCUGGCUUUGGGUUUGGGACAACCACUGGAAACGGUGGCUAAUACCGGAUGUGACGAGAGGUAAAAGAAAAAUUGCCUGAAGAUGAGCUCGCGUCUGAUUAGCUAGUUGGUGAGGUAAAGACACACCAAGGCAGCGAUCAGUAGCUGGUCUGAGAUGAUGACCAGCCACACCGGGAAUGAGACGCGGCCCAGACGACUACGGGGGGAAGCAGUGGGGAAUUAUCCGGCAAGGGCGAAAGACUGACGAAGCAAUACCGCGUGAGGGAAGAAGGUUCUUGGGUAGUAAACAUCUUUUCGUAGGGGAGAACAACAUGACGGUACCUAAGGAAUAAGCCUCGGCUAACUCCGUG